rnacentral:rRNA from 1 species
UGCAAGUCGAGCGGUAGCACAAGGGAGCUUGCUCCCUGGGUGACGAGCGGCGGACGGGUGAGUAAUGUCUGGGAAACUGCCUGAUGGAGGGGGAUAACUACUGGAAACGGUAGCUAAUACCGCAUAACGUCGCAAGACCAAAGAGGGGGACCUUCGGGCCUCUUGCCAUCAGAUGUGCCCAGAUGGGAUUAGCUAGUAGGUGGGGUAAUGGCUCACCUAGGCGACGAUCCCUAGCUGGUCUGAGAGGAUGACCAGCCACACUGGAACUGAGACACGGUCCAGACUCCUACGGGAGGCAGCAGUGGGGAAUAUUGCACAAUGGGCGCAAGCCUGAUGCAGCCAUGCCGCGUGUGUGAAGAAGGCCUUCGGGUUGUAAAGCACUUUCAGCGAGGAGGAAGGUGGUGAGCUUAAUACGUUCAUCAAUUGACGUUACUCUCAAAAGAAGCCCCGGCUAAACUCCGUGCCAGCAGCCGCGGUAAUACGGAAGGGUGCAAGCGUUAAUCGGAAUUACUGGGCGUAAAGCCGCACGCAGGCGGUUUGUUAAGUCAGAUGUGAAAUCCCCCGGGCUCCAACCCUGGGAACUGCAUUUGAAACUGGCAAGCUAGAGUCUCGUAGAGGGGGGUAGAAUUCCAGGUGUAGCGGUGAAAUGCGUAAAGAUCUGGAGGAAUAACCGGGUGGCGAAAGGCGGCCCCCCUGGACAAAAACUGACGCUUCAGGUGCGAAAAGCGUGGGGAGCAAACAGGAUAUAGAUAACCCCUGGGUAAUUCCCACGCCUGUAAACGAUGU